rnacentral:rRNA from 1 species
GACGAACGCUGGCGGCGUGCUUAACACAUGCAAGUCGAACGGAAAGGCCCUGCUUUUGUGGGGUGCUCGAGUGGCGAACGGGUGAGUAACACGUGAGUAACCUGCCCUUGACUUUGGGAUAACUUCAGGAAACUGGGGCUAAUACCGGAUAGGAGCUCCUGCUGCAUGGUGGGGGUUGGAAAGUUUCGGCGGUUGGGGAUGGACUCGCGGCUUAUCAGCUUGUUGGUGGGGUAGUGGCUUACCAAGGCCUUGACGGGUAGCCGGCCUGAGAGGGUGACCGGCCACAUUGGGACUGAGAUACGGCACAGACUCCUACGGGAGGCAGCAGUGGGGAAUAGUGCACAAUGGGCGGAAGCCUGAUGCAGCAACGCCGCGUGCGGGAUGACGGCCUUCGGGUUGUAAACCGCUUUCGCCUGUGACGAAGCGUGAGUGACGGUAAUGGGUAAAGAAGCACCGGCUAACUACGUG